rfam:Brassica rapa chromosome A1, whole genome shotgun sequence.
GGGUGCGAUCAUACCAGCACUAAUGCACCGGAUCCCAUCAGAACUCCGCAGUUAAGCGUGCUAGGAUGGGUGACCUCCCGGGAAGUCCUCGUGUUGCACCCC